rnacentral:rRNA from 1 species
UACGUAGGGUGCAAGCGUUAAUCGGAAUUACUGGGCGUAAAGCGUGCGCAGGCGGCUUCGCAAGUCAGACGUGAAAUCCCCGGGCUUAACCUGGGAAUGGCGUUUGAAACUACGGAGCUGGAGUGUGGCAGGGGGAGGUAGAAUUCCACGUGUAGCGGUGAAAUGCGUAGAUAUGUGGAGGAAUACCGAUGGCGAAGGCAGCCUCCUGGGCCAACACUGACGCUCAUGCACGAAAGCGUGGGGAGCAAACAGG